UGGGGAAUAUUGCACAAUGGGGGAAACCCUGAUGCAGCGACGCCGCGUGAACGAAGAAGGUAUUCGUAUCGUAAAGUUCUGUCCUAUGGGAAGAUAAUGACAGUACCAUAGAAGAAAGCUCCGGCUAAAUACGUGCCAGCAGCCGCGGUAAUACGUAUGGAGCGAGCGUUGUCCGGAAUUAUUGGGCGUAAAGGGUACGCAGGCGGUUUAAUAAGUCGAAUGUUAAAGAUCGGGGCUCAACCCCGUAAAGCAUUGGAAACUGAUAAACUUGAGUAGUGGAGAGGAAAGUGGAAUUCCUAGUGUAGUGGUGAAAUACGUAGAUAUUAGGAGGAAUACCAGUAGCGAAGGCAACUUUCUGGACACAAACUGACGCUGAGGUACGAAAGCGUGGGGAGCAAACAGG
rnacentral:rRNA from 2 species